rnacentral:rRNA from 1 species
UACGAAGGGGCUAGCGUUGUUCGGAUUUACUGGGCGUAAAGCGCACGUAGGCGGAUCGUUAAGUCGGGGGUGAAAUCCUGGAGCUCAACUCCAGAACUGCCUUCGAUACUGGCGAUCUUGAGUCCGGAAGAGGUGAGUGGAACUCCUAGUGUAGAGGUGGAAUUCGUAGAUAUUAGGAAGAACACCAGUGGCGAAGGCGGCUCACUGGUCCGGUACUGACGGCUGAGGUGCGAAAGCGUGGGGAGCAAACAGG